AUUGGUCAAUGGACGAGAGUCUGAACCAGCCAAGUAGCGUGAAGGAUGACUGCCCUAUGGGUUGUAAACUUCUUUUAUACGGGAAUAAAGUGAGGCACGUGUGCCUUUUUGUAUGUACCGUAUGAAUAAGGAUCGGCUAACUCCGUGCCAGCAGCCGCGGUAAUA
rnacentral:rRNA from 1 species